AUUGACGGAGGGGCACCACCAGGAGUGGAGCGUGCGGCUUAAUUUGACUCAACACGGGAAAACUUACCAGGUCCAGACAUUUGAAGGAUUGACAGAUUGAUAGCUCUUUCAUGAUUAAAUGGGUGGUGGUGCAUGGCCGUUCUUAGUUGGUGGAGUGAUUUGUCUGGUUAAUUCCGAUAACGAACGAGACCUUUACCAGCUAAAUAGUAAUUAUUAGGACUUGUCCUAGUAAGAUAUACUUCUUAGAGGGACUAUUGGUUUUUAAACCAAAGGAAGUAAAGGCGAUAACAGGUCUGUGAUGCCCUUAGAUGUUCUGGGCUGCACGCGCGCUACAAUGAUCAACUCAUCAAGUUAUCUCAACUUGUUUGUGAUUUACUUUUCCUGAAGGAGUGGUUAAUCUUCAACGUUGAUCGUGCUUGGGAUAGAUAAUUGUAAUUAUUUGUCUUGAACAAGGAAUUCCUAGUAAUCGUAAUUCAUCAGAUUGCGAUGAUUACGUCCCUGCCCCUUGUACACACCGCCCGUCGCUGCUACCGAUUGAAUAAUCCGGUGAACUCGUCGGAUUGUGGUAAAUAUUUAGCUUUCGGGUUAAAUUUUGCUGCGAGAAGUUGAUAAACCAUGUUAUUAGAGAAGCAAA
rnacentral:rRNA from 1 species